rnacentral:sRNA from 1 species
AAAAUUAUAAGGGAGAGGAGAAGAUAGAUCGCGCCAUUAACUUAGACAUAAUAGUUAUUAUUUAGUGUGAUAAAAGAAAGAAUAAUUAUAGACUAAAUAAGAAACCAAUAAAGCUUUAAGUUUCUUAUCAUAACAUUGAAGAAUGUGUUAUAAAAGCCACAAAAGCAUUGAUAGUAAUAGAUAUUGUCGAUGGAUACAGUUGAGGUCAUCAUCCUAACAUAUAAAGAUAGUGUGUCAAAGUAGAAAUAUACAUAAAUACCUGGCGCGCAAGUAUAAUGCAAUUCUUGUAACAAUAACUUGAUAUAGAAAAACAGCUAGAAUUAAUAAUCGAAAGAUUAUCGAUAAAUUUAAUUUUAUUCUUCAAGAAGAUGCAAUAUCAUGUAAAAGCGGGACUAAUUCCCGAUAGUCUUGGCCGACGAAAGUUCGCCAAGUAAAGGUCCGACGCUCGAGGAGGAGCCUAUGUCCCAUCAGCUUGUUGGUAGGGUAAUGGCCUACCAAGGCUAUGACGGGUAGCGGGUGUGAGAGCAUGGCCCGCCUCACUGGGACUGAGACACUGCCCAGACUCCUACGGGAGGCAGCAGUGGGACUCCUACGGGAGGCAGCAGUGGGACUCCUACGGGAGGCAGCAGUGGGACUCCUACGGGAGGCAGCAGUGGGGCAGUUGUCUCAGAACGAACGAAGGCGGCUGGCUCUGAUCCGCACGCUNUGUU